AACGAACGCUGGCGGCAUGCCUAACACAUGCAAGUCGAACGAAGGCUUCGGCCUUAGUGGCGCACGGGUGCGUAACGCGUGGGAAUCUGCCCUUUGGUUCGGAAUAACAGCUGGAAACGGCUGCUAAUACCGGAUGAUGACGAAAGUCCAAAGAUUUAUCGCCAGAGGAUGAGCCCGCGUUGGAUUAGGUAGUUGGUGGGGUAAAGGCCUACCAAGCCGACGAUCCAUAGCUGGUCUGAGAGGAUGAUCAGCCACACUGGGACUGAGACACGGCCCACACUCCUACGGGAGGCAGCAGUGGGGAAUAUUGGACAAUGGGCGCAAGCCUGAUCCAGCAAUGCCGCGUGAGUGAUGAAGGCCCUAGGGUUGUAAAGCUCUUUUACCCGGGAAGAUAAUGACUGUACCGGGAGAAUAAGCCCCGGCUAACUCCGUG
rnacentral:rRNA from 1 species